GUUUACUUUAUGAACCCCCGUGGAUAUCACAUGAGCUCGCUAAAAGCAGUUCUGCUCUAGUCCAAUCACAUCUGCCUCUAAUUCCACUAUCAUAGUGUCUAGUUUGGCUACUUUAAUGGCCUGAGUAGCUCUAUGGUUACUCACCUCCAGACGCCAUCUCCCGAGUAACCAAAACAGAAUCAGAAGCAGGCAAACCACGCAUGUGGCCGUUUUCCAGCGGUAUUCCAGUAAAGGCAUUUUUCCAUGUUGCAUUGGCCUGCGGAAACCCUGGGCCCCUUCGGUUGGAGGCAGUGAAUGGAUGUACACUGGGGACGGUCGGGAAACUCAAAGUGACAGGCGCCUCCCGCUACGUCUCCCCUGGUCUCCCCCAGACCCAGAUCCCAAGACCCCUCUUGCCUGGGACACUGUGUACAUUUGGGGUCCCUCUGACACCAGUGAUGGAAGU